rnacentral:rRNA from 1 species
GGGUGGAUUAGUGGCGAACGGGUGAGUAACACGUGGGCAAUCUGCCCUGCACUCUGGGACAAGCCCUGGAAACGGGGUCUAAUACCGGAUACUGAUCGCCUUGGGCAUCCUUGGUGAUCGAAAGCUCCGGCGGUGCAGGAUGAGCCCGCGGCCUAUCAGCUUGUUGGUGAGGUAAUGGCUCACCAAGGCGACGACGGGUAGCCGGCCUGAGAGGGCGACCGGCCACACUGGGACUGAGACACGGCCCAGACUCCUACGGGAGGCAGCAGUGGGGAAUAUUGCACAAUGGGCGAAAGCCUGAUGCAGCGACGCCGCGUGAGGGAUGACGGCCUUCGGGUUGUAAACCUCUUUCAGCAGGGAAGAAGCGAAAGUGACGGUACCUGCAGAAGAAGCGCCGGCUAACUACGUGCCAGCAGCCGCGGUAAUACGUAGGGCGCGAGCGUUGUCCGGAAUUAUUGGGCGUAAAGAGCUCGUAGGCGGCUUGUCACGUCGGUUGUGAAAGCCCGGGGCUUAACCCCGGGUCUGCAGUCGAUACGGGCAGGCUAGAGUUCGGUAGGGGAGAUCGGAAUUCCUGGUGUAGCGGUGAAAUGCGCAGAUAUCAGGAGGAACACCGGUGGCGAAGGCGGAUCUCUGGGCCGAUACUGACGCUGAGGAGCGAAAGCGUGGGGAGCGAACAGGAUUAGAUACCCUGGUAGUCCACGCCGUAAACGGUGGGCACUAGGUGUGGGCGACAUUCCACGUCGUCCGUGCCGCAGCUAACGCAUUAAGUGCCCCGCCUGGGGAGUACG